UACGAAGGGUGCAAACGUUGCUCGGAAUUAUUGGGCGUAAAGCGCACGUAGGCGGCUUGGCAAGUCGGAUGUGAAAUCCCUCGGCUCAACCAAGGAAGUGCAUCCGAAACUGCUGAGCUUGAGUACUUAAGGGGAUCGCGGAAUUCCCGGUGUAGAGGUGAAAUUCGUAGAUAUCGGGAGGAACACCAGUGGCGAAGGCGGCGAUCUGGGAAGAUACUGACGCUGAGGUGCGAAAGCGUGGGGAGCAAACAGG
rnacentral:rRNA from 1 species